GAUGAACGCUGGCGGCGUGCCUAAUACAUGCAAGUCGAGCGAACAGAUAAGGAGCUUGCUCCUUUGACGUUAGCGGCGGACGGGUGAGUAACACGUGGGUAACCUACCUAUAAGACUGGGAUAACUUCGGGAAACCGGAGCUAAUACCGGAUAACAUUUGGAACCGCAUGGUUCUAAAGUGAAAGAUGGUUUUGCUAUCACUUAUGGAUGGACCCGCGCCGUAUUAGCUAGUUGGUAAGGUAACGGCUUACCAAGGCGACGAUACGUAGCCGACCUGAGAGGGUGAUCGGCCACACUGGAACUGAGACACGGUCCAGACUCCUACGGGAGGCAGCAGUAGGGAAUCUUCCGCAAUGGGCGAAAGCCUGACGGAGCAACGCCGCGUGAGUGAUGAAGGGUUUCGGCUCGUAAAACUCUGUUAUUAGGGAAGAACAAAUGUGUAAGUAACUGUGCACGUCUUGACGGUACCUAAUCAGAAAGCCACGGCUAACUACGUG
rnacentral:rRNA from 1 species